rnacentral:sRNA from 1 species
AAAAAGACCAUAAGCAUCUGGAGCACCUGCAAGAGCCUGUGCAUGGGCUCGGCGUGACUGAGAGUCCUCCGCCUGGCCCGAGCAUCAGGCAGGCCCUCCCAAGACCCCUCAAGAUGCUAGAAUGGGACUUUCUGCAAAGUUUAAACAUCUGUACAGGAUUUAGCUUCUUUGGUGGCAAACUUGGAUUGUGAUGCCCUCAGGAAGUCUGGUUUCACUCUUUCUGUCACUGUACGUCGGCAUUCAUGAAGGACUUGUAUUUUCUCUGCCUGGUGAGGUUUGGAGACUUGAAGGAGGACAAGGUGACGCGCCAUGAUGGAGCCAGCUCGGACGGGCACCUGGCACACAUCUUCAGACAUGCGGCCAAGGAGCUGUUCAACGAGGAUGUGGAGGAGGGGCUGCCCUGAGUGGAGUAUUAAAGACACUUAAGAAA